GCGCAGCAGUCGCGAAACUUCACACUGUGCGAAGCACGAUGAGGGAAUCCCAAGUGCUUGCACGUAAGUGUAAGCUGUUUCUCUGUUUAAAACGCAGAGAGAGUAAGGGCUGGGUAAGACGGGUGCCAGCCGCCGCGGUAAUACCUGCAGCUCAAGUGGUGACCGUUAUUAUUGGGCCUAAAACGUCCGUAGCCGGUUUAAUAAAUGCCUGGGUAAAUCGUGUAGCUUAACUAUACGAAUUCCGGGUAGACUGUUAAACUCGAGACCGGGAGAAGUUAGAGGUACUCCUGGGGUAGAGGUGAAAUUCUGUAAUCCUAGGGGGACCACCAGUGGCGAAGGCGUCUAACUAGAACGGGUCUGACGGUGAGGGACGAAGCCCUGGGGCGCAAACGGGGAUUAGAUACCCGUGUAGU
rnacentral:rRNA from 1 species